rnacentral:rRNA from 1 species
AAUAGAUACCCGGGUAGUCCCAGCCGUAAACGAUGCUCGCUAGGUGUCAGGCAUGGCGCGACCGUGUCUGGUGCCGCAGGGAAGCCGUGAAGCGAGCCACCUGGGAAGUACGGCCGCAAGGCUGAAACUUAAAGGAAUUGGCGGGGGAGCACAACAACGGGUGGAGCCUGCGGUUUAAUUGGACUCAACGCCGGACAACUCACCGGGGACGACAGCAAUAUGUAGGUCAGGCUGAAGACCUUACCUGAAUCGCUGAGAGGAGGUGCAUGGCCGUCGCCAGUUCGUACUGUGAAGCAUCCUGUUAAGUCAGGCAACGAGCGAGACCCGUGCCCACUGUUACCAGCAUAUCCUCCGGGAUGAUGGGUACACUGUGGGGACCGCCGGUGUUAAAUCGGAGGAAGGUGCGGGCCACGGUAGGUCAGUAUGCCCCGAAUUUCCCGGGCUACACGCGGGCUACAAUGAAUGGGACAAUGGGUCCCUCCCCUGAAAAGGGCUGGUAAUCUCACAAACCCAUCCUUAGUUCGGAUCGAGGGCUGUAACUCGCCCUCG